UACGUAGGGUGCGAGCGUUAAUCGGAAUCACUGGGCGUAAAGCGUGCGCAGGCGGUUCGUUAAGACAGAUGUGAAAUCCCCGGGCUUAACCUGGGAACUGCAUUUGUGACUGGCGAGCUAGAGUAUGGCAGAGGGGGGUAGAAUUCCACGUGUAGCAGUGAAAUGCGUAGAGAUGUGGAGGAAUACCGAUGGCGAAGGCAGCCCCCUGGGCCAAUACUGACGCUCAUGCACGAAAGCGUGGGGAGCAAACAGG
rnacentral:rRNA from 1 species